rnacentral:tRNA from 1 species
AAGAGUAUGUAGCGUUAUCGCCACAGUUUUGCAAAGACUGUUGAGAGUGUUUACUCCAUACUUU